UACGUAGGGGGCAAGCGUUGUCCGGAUUCAUUGGGCGUAAAGAGCUCGUAGGCGGUUCGGCAAGUCGGGUGUGAAAACUCCAGGCUCAACCUGGAGACGCCACCCGAUACUGCUGUGACUUGAGUCCGGUAGGGGACCACGGAAUUCCUGGUGUAGCGGUGAAAUGCGCAGAUAUCAGGAGGAACGCCGGUGGCGAAGGCGGUGGUCUGGGCCGGCACUGACGCUGAGGAGCGAAAGCGUGGGGAGCGAACAGG
rnacentral:rRNA from 1 species